rnacentral:rRNA from 1 species
GAUGAACGCUAGCGGGAGGCCUAAUACAUGCAAGUCGAGGGGCAGCAGUUCGGCUGGCGACCGGCGAACGGGUGAGUAACGCGUACGCAAUCUACCUUUAAGAGAGGGAUAGCCCUGGGAAACUGGGAUUAAUACCUCAUGGUAUCAUUGAAUCGCAUGAUUUGAUGAUUAAAGCUUCGGCGCUUAAAGAUGAGCGUGCGUGCUAUUAGUUAGUUGGUGAGGUAACGGCUCACCAAGACGACGAUAGCUAGGGGGCGUGAGAGCGUGACCCCCCACACGGGUACUGAGACACGGACCCGACUCCUACGGGAGGCAGCAGUAAGGAAUAUUGGACAAUGGGCGCAAGCCUGAUCCAGCCAUCCCGCGUGCAGGAUGACGGCCCUAUGGGUUGUAAACUGCUUUUAUUUGGGAAGAAACGAAUUCAUUUAUGAGUUCCUGACGGUACCUUAUGAAUAAGCACCGGCUAACUCCG